UACGUAGGGACCAAGCGUUGUUCGGAUUUACUGGGCGUAAAGGGCGCGUAGGCGGCAAUUCAAGUCAUCUGUGAAAUCUCCGGGCUUAACCCGGAACGGUCAGAUGAUACUGCUUUGCUAGAGUGCGGAAGGGGCAAUCGGAAUUCUUGGUGUAGCGGUGAAAUGCGUAGAUAUCAAGAGGAACACCUGAGGUGAAGACGGGUUGCUGGGCCGACACUGACACUGAUAGCGCGAAAGCCAGGGAGCAAACGGG
rnacentral:rRNA from 1 species